GAACGCUAGCGGCAGGCCUAAUACAUGCAAGUCGAGGGGUAAAUCAGAAGCUUGCUUUUGAUACGACCGGCGAACGGGUGCGUAACGCGUAUGCAAUCUGCCCUGUACUGGAGGAUAGCCCGAGGAAGCUCGGAUUAAUACUCCGUAGUGUCAUUGAGAGGCAUCUCUUGAUGAUUAAAGAUUUUAUUGGUACAGGAUGAGCAUGCGUAAGAUUAGAUUGUUGGUAAGGUAACGGCUUACCAAGUCUACGAUCUUUAGGGGGUCUGAGAGGAUGAUCCCCCACACUGGCACUGAGAUACGGGCCAGACUCCUACGGGAGGCAGCAGUAGGGAAUAUUGGUCAAUGGGCGAAAGCCUGAACCAGCCAUGCCGCGUGCAGGAUGACAGCCUUCUGGGUUGUAAACUGCUUCUAUACGAGAAUAAAGAAUCCUUGCGAGGAAAGUUGAAGGUACCGUAUGAAUAAGCACCGGCUAGCUCCGUGCCAGCAGCCGCGGUAAU
rnacentral:rRNA from 1 species